rnacentral:rRNA from 1 species
UACGUAGGGGGCUAGCGUUGUCCGGAAUCAUUGGGCGUAAAGAGCGUGUAGGCGGUCCGGUAAGUCCGCUGUGAAAGUCGGGGGCUCAACCCUCGAAUGCCGGUGGAUACUGUCGGGCUAGAGUGCGGAAGAGGCGAGUGGAAUUCCUGGUGUAGCGGUGAAAUGCGCAGAUAUCAGGAGGAACACCUAUUGCGAAGGCAGCUCGCUGGGACGUAACUGACGCUGAGACGCGAAAGCGUGGGGAGCAAACAGGG